GCUCUCCUCUCCUCCUAAGCUUUGUUUCCUGCCGGUAAUUAAAAUCUUUUGUCACUGCCAUAGCUACUGCUGCUGCUGGAACUGCCAUAACCACCUUGGUUUUGUGGUUUGGCAAAGUAUUGGCCUCCACCACCAUAGGAGCCAGAGCUUCUGCCUCCAAAAUUUCCUCCUUUAAUGGGUCCAAAAUUUGAAGAUUGAUUGUUGUAAUUGCGAAAAUCAUUACAGCUUCACCACUUCCAAAGUUGCUUCCAUCAUUACCAAAUCUGUUAUAGCCAUCCCACUGCCACCAUUAUUCACCACCACCUUGACUGCCACCAAACCCACCUCGCCUACUGAUGUUUCUUCCACGACCAAGGUUGUCACUCCCACCAAAACCACCUCCAAAGCCACCACCAAAGCUUCCAGAACCACUUUGACCUCCUUGGCUGGAUGAAGCACCAGCCAUCUCUUGCUUAGAUAGAACUUCCCUUACUUCACAGUUGUGGCCAUUCACAGUAUGGUGUUUUUGAAUGAUAGUCUUGUCUACAAAUUCAUGGUCAUCAAAUGUUACAAAAGUAAAGCCUGUCUUUUGCCACUGCCUUGGUCAGUCUUGAUUUCAAUCACUUCGGUUUUCCCAUACUAUUCAAAAUAGUCUCUCAGAUGAUGUUCUUCAGUGUCUUCUUUAAUGCCACCUUCAAAAUUUUUUUUCAUAGUUAAGUAGGCACCAGGUCUUUGAGAAUCUUCUCUGGAGACAGCCCUCUUUGGUUCUACAACUCUUCCAUCCACGUUGUGUGGCCCUGCAUUCAUGGCUGCAUCCACCUCAUCCACAGUAGCAUAGGUGACAAACCCAAAGCCUCUGGAGCACUUGGCGUUUGGAACUCUCAUUACCACACUGUCCGUAAGCAUUCCCCAUUGCUCAAAAUCGCUCCUCAGACUCUCAUCGGUUGCUUCAAAGCUUAAACCUCUGAUGAAAAACUCCUACAGCUGUUCAGCAUCUUUAGGAGUCUCUGACUUAGACAUGACAGCAGUUGGGGCAGGGGAGAGACUUUAACGAUGCUUACUCAGCAGCAUCCAGGGGCAGAAA
rnacentral:lncRNA from 1 species